AUGGGUGAUGAGUUUAUCAAUUACCCCUUCAAGAAUUCAUGGGUGAUGUAAACUCGAGAUCUUGCUCA
rfam:Spinacia oleracea cultivar SynViroflay scaffold103.con0002.1, whole genome shotgun sequence.